rnacentral:rRNA from 1 species
AAGGGCACCACAAGAACGCGUGGAGUAUGUGGCUUAAUUUGACUCAACACGGGAAAUCUUACCGGGUCCGGACACACUGAGGAUUGACAGACAUAUUAUAAUUUACACUUUUUUGUAUUUUAUAUAAAUAUGAAGUUCUUUCAUGAUUAUGUGAUAGGUGGUGCAUGGCCGUUUUUAGUUCGUGAAGUGAUUUGUCUGCUUAAUUGCGUUUCAAUUAUAUAGUGCAGAAUUUAAACUAUUAAAAUAUUUAAUAUUUUAAAGUUGAUUUUGUAUCUUCUUUUGAAUGCAACGAACGUGACCGUAAUACAUUUUUGCAUUUCCAUUAAAAUUAUUUUUUUAAUUUUACAUAAAUGCUUUCAAAAAUAUGUAGACCGCUGUUUUUCUAAAUUCUUAAACCAGAGUAAGGAUACGGCAAUAACAGGUCUGUGAUGCCCUUAGAUGUUCCGGGCUGCACACGUGCUACAAUGAUUAUAACAGUAAGUAUUAAAACAAAAGUUCAAUGAUAAUUUAUUAGAUUUGAAUGAUUAAUACCUUAAUUGAUAAAUAAAUUUUUUUAGGUAAUCAAUUGUAAAUUAUGAUUUCCUUAUACAUAUAUGAGUUACAGAUGAUGUUAUUUAAAAACGAUGUUUACAUUUUUUUUUUUAACAUUAAAAUAUAUUAAGUUAUUUCUCCGUUGGGAUAGACAAUUGUACAUAAAAAUACUUUUUUCUUUUUUUUUUUUUAAGGAAAGUUAAAGGUAUAAUAUUUUUAAUUAUUUGUCUUGCCUAACUAGGAAUGCCUCGUACAGUUCUUUGGUUCAUCAGACCAACUGGAAUACGUCCCUGCCCUUUGUACACACCGCCCGUC